rnacentral:rRNA from 1 species
UACGAAGGGGGCUAGCGUUGUUCGGAAUUACUGGGCGUAAAGCGCGCGCAGGCGGUCUUCCAAGUCAGUGGUGAAAGCCCGGAGCUCAACUCCGGAACUGCCAUUGAAACUGUUGGACUUGAGUACGAGAGAGGUGAGUGGAAUUCCCAGUGUAGAGGUGAAAUUCGUAGAUAUUGGGAAGAACACCGGUGGCGAAGGCGGCUCACUGGCUCGUAACUGACGCUGAGGCGCGACAGCGUGGGGAUCAAACAGG